GACGUCGAAUAUCGACGUCAUAAACACCAAACUUGAUGCUGUUUAUGACGUCGAAUAUCGACGUCAUAAACACCGAACGUGAUGGUGUUUAUGACGUCGAAUAUCGAUCAAGUUUGGUGUUUAUGACGUCGAUAUUCGACGUCAUAAACACGAGCAAGUUUGGUGUUUAUGACGUCGAUAUUCGACGUCAUAAACACCAUCAAGCUUGGUGUUUAUGACGUCGAUAUUCGACGUC